rnacentral:rRNA from 1 species
GCCGGCAGCUAGCUCUCUGCAACUCGCAUGGUCGCCCACUGAAGCUAAGCAGGGCUGUGCCCGGUCAGCACCUGGAUGGGAGACCACAUGGGACCACAGGUUGCUGCAGGAA